GGAUUCAAAUCUAAAAUUUUUCACUUGCCGCCUAGCAACCCGCUGCAAGCUAGCUCCCACUCGAUUGAGGAAAAAAUAGAGGAAAUAUCCAACACAAAACCCCAGCAAUCGUCUGACCCGGUUCGGCCGCUCCAAGCCUCCCACCCGGUUGGGAUUCCUGAGGACGGAAAAAAGAGAGGAAAAUUGGGGAAAACAUAGGAAAAAUCCACGAAACCAAAGGAAAGAUGGAGAUAAUUUAAGAGCACUUGUGAGAGAUAGAGGGGUUUCUUAGGUUCCAUUUGGGCUUUUCUCUCAAGUAUAUGGGAUUUUGUGCGACUUGGGGUGGUGUGAGUUGGUUCUUGAGGUUGUGGCAGUGUGAAAACAAAGAAAAAAUCACCGAGAAGAUGGAAGAAAUCAAAAGGGAAGUUUGAGGGAAAGGACGAGAGCAAGCUUAGUUAAAUUGAAGGACAAAGGAGAGCAAUUCUUCUCUUUUAUCAGGCAGUGUGUCAAAGUGAUUUUUUAUAUCAUAAUGACCCCACUAAAGACAUAGUCAAAGGGACCUUCAAUUUUUUAUUAAUAGCCAUGAUAUUAUUUUAUCCUUAAUGUCAAAAUAAAAGCUUAGGGACACAUACCAAAAGGUGUCUAAAUACUAUUUUAUUGGAUAUAAUACCAAGGCACGUACCAACACUACUUUAGUUGCUGCAUGUUUUUUUGGUUUUUUAAUUUUUGCAUACUAUUUUUGAGUAUAUGUUUGCUUAAAUUUUGUUAUUUAUCAUUUGAUAGAAUAGGCAAAGAUGACGAGCUGGAGUUGGAUGCAUUGUAGGAUUUAUAAGGGAAUAGUGACAGAUGAAUUUAAGAAUAGAGUUGCUAAGUUCAUUGACAUUGCAAUUUCUAAUCCCUCGCACAUGAAAAAUGGGAAAAUUCUCUGCCCUUGUCUUAAGUAUAAGAAUAGAAAGUUCUUGAUACCUGAUGAAGUGACGGUUUCCCUCUGCAAGAAAGGCUUUGUAGAUGGUUAUCACACUUGGAUGCUGCAUGGAGAAUCUAUUCUAGAUCUGAGGAGUUUGGUCCUAAAACUGUUGAUAGAGGAGUGGCAGGUGGUAUGAACUCUUAUGUGGAUAUGGUUAUAGAUGCCACAAGAAGUCCUGAAUUGAAUAAUGAUGCUAGGGAGGAUUUUGAUGAAGCUCCAAAUCCAACAGCUGCUAAGUUUUAUGAAUUGCUUAAAGAUGUCGAUGAGUCACUAUGGGAGGGUUGCAGUAAGCAUACUACGCUAUCAGCGAUCACUCAGUUGUUGAAUUUGAAAUCAGAGUUUAGUAUGAGCGAGGCAUGUUACAAUCGAAUGCUUUUAAUAAUUAAAAGUAUGUUGCCUGAGGAUGAGAAGUUGCCUGAAGAUUUCUAUCAAUCAAAAAAAAUUAUGAAGAAAUUGGGACUGAGCUAUCAGAAGAUAGAUAUUUGCUCAAAUUUUUGCAUGUUGUACUACAUGAAUGAUAGUCAGAAAAUAGAAUGUUCUGUAUGUGGUCAUCCUCAAUUCAAGUGAGCAAAAAAAAAAUGCAAUGUACUAUAUAUGGUAUUGCGAUAUUUCUCUCUUGCUCCUGACUCCAACGAUUGUAUAUGUCAAGUAAGACGGCAAUGCAUGUGAGAUGGCAUGAGGAAGGGGUUCGGCAUAAUUCUGCUAUGAUUUCACAUCCGACAGAUGGGGAAGCAUGGAAGCAAUUUGAUUUGAUGCAUCCAGAGUUUUUAAGUGAUUGUCGGAAUGUUAGAUUAGGUCCUUGUACUAAUGGGUUCAAUCCAUUCACAUCAAGCUCAACACCUUAUUCAUGCUGGUCUAUUUUUUUGAUUCCGUAUAAUCUACCUCCAGGAAUG